GGCUCGGUAGCUUAGUUGGUAAAGCGCUCGUCUAGCAUACAAGAGUCCUGGGUUCGAAUCCCAGCCGAGCAA
rnacentral:tRNA from 2 species